GCCCAGUCGACAGCGAUGAUGAGGGUGAUGUCCUCGGUGGGCAGCCCCACGGAGCAUGAAGAUGACAACUGUCCCACAGGAACUGGGAUGAGGAAUGGAGGAAGAACAGGUUGAAGAAAGGAAACCACAGAAAAGAAGUCCAUGGGAUUGCAACAGACUCUGGGAGGGGGGGCUGCAUUUGGGAAGGGCUCUGGGUGCAGAGCAAUGCCCCAGCCCACAGACCGCGGGGCUGGGACAUGGAGCAGGGUGUUCUCUCUGUGACAGUUCUCCCUCCCUUAGCUGGCUGCAGAGCAGAGGGAGGAGAAGCCUGAUGGAGACAGAGCUGGAGAUCCAGGUUCAGGACGAGGCCAGGUAUUAAGAGUUGCAGAAGCAACAGUUGCAGCAGUGGGCAUUGGGGAAGGGAGGCACAGUCCAGGUGGUUUUAUUGGGAUUCUGUGAAGAAGCAACAGAGAGGCCAGAAAAACCCUUUGCCUGGUCAAAUGUGCUCCAGGAAAAUGUUUGAAUUUGUGUCUCCUGGAAAAGAUGCUAAUUUAUAGUGUGAAGUUUCUUUCAUUGUUCUAAGGAAUGUAUUUCAAUGAAAAUAGAAUAGGUAAAUGUAAUCUAAAAUGAUUAAAAUCUUUUCAAAGUAGGCAAGAUUUUUCUGUGGAUGAACUUGGGAUACACUGUAGUUGAUUUUAGAUUGUCAGUAAAGUGUUCAGAAGAG